AAAGAUAUUUACUUAUUAUUAUUAUUAUUAUAUUUUAUCAAUUAAUUGAGAUAAUGAAAAAUAUAUGGUGAUGAAAUAUUACAUGUGUACAUGUAUGUAUGAAUACACAUGUAGUAUUUUUAUUUGUAUUAAUUAAAUAUUUUAUAAUUAAUUAUUAAUUUAGUAAAUGAAAGAAAUAAAAUGAAAUAAAGAAUAAAUAAAAGAAAGAAAAACAAGAAAAAGAAACACAAAAGAAAUGAAAUAGAAAGAAAGAAGAAAAGAAAAGAAAAGAAAAAGGAGAAAUUAGGGUUUGAAAGCUUGGAAGUUAAAUUGGUACGUCAAUUAAGUUUCUUUCUUAGUGAUUUUGAUAUUUUUGAAGUUCUAAAGUUUAAUACUUUUGAAUUUGUGUGAAAAUAUUGAAAGAUGAUAGACUUUUAAAUAGGGUUUAUGUUGAACUAAUGAUGAAAUUAGGAGUUUAAUUGAUAGAAAUUUUGAUUUAAAUUGAUUAAAGGAUUGAACUGUAAACAAGGUCAUAAGUUUUGUGUUUAGGGACUAAAUUGAUAGAAAUUUAAAAUUAUGGAAAAAUGAUAAAUGUUUGAUGGAAAUUGAAUAAGGAAAUAAUAUGAAUUAUAAAAAGGAAGAAGAUGAAAAUAGUUAGGAUAAAUUUGGGAUUUAGGUUAAAGUUGCAUGGAAAGUUAUUAUUUUCUAUAAAAUAAGUGUGUUAUUAAUUAAUUAUAAUUAUGUUAAUUUUCAUAACAAACAAGGAAACUAAGACUUUGAAUGAGAAGGGAAAAGAAAAAGUGAUUGAGGAGUAGCUCAAAAAAAUAUCGGUUUGUAUUACCUUAAUUCAAGUUAUUUAUUAUUAAAUGUUUAAUUUCAAUAUAUGUGUAUGAAAAAUGAAAUUGAGGUAAGCAGUGAUAAUUGAAUUGAAUGAGAAUUGGAUUUGAUUGAUGAAUGUAUACAUGUGUGAAAUUGAAUUGUAUAAUGAUUUGUGGUGAAUUUGAAAUUGUGAUUGAAUUGUUAUUGUGAUUGAUUUGAAUUCGAAUGAUUCCAAUAUCCUAUUAACUAGUUGGGGUAGGUUGGAUAUAGUUGGCAUGUCAUAGGAUAGGAAGAAUUCAGGGAUUCUUCGAUCUCGAGUCGAUAAAACACUUGUUGUGUCAUAUUUACUUCGGAUAGAUUCGAUGAGGCGUUGGUCGCCGCUUUGCUUUGGCUUAGCUGAUGAGACGUUGGUCGUCACUUAUUUGCUUCGAACUAUCCGAUGAGGCGUUGGCCGCCACUCUGGUGUGUUUGGUUGGAUCCGUGUAUUCUCUAAAGUCCGAGUUAUGUUAAUAGGGGAAAUAUAUGUGAAGAGAAAAAUUAAAUGAAAUUGAUAAAUUAAAUUAUUGAAUGAAAUGAGAAAGUGAUAUUAUAAGAUGAAAUGAGAAAUAUAAUUUGAGCUAUGAGAUUGAAGGCAUAAAACCUAGGCUAAUGAAUUAUUCAUAUUUGAAUGUGAAUUGGAUAUUUAUAUGAUGAAAUGAGAAAUAUAAUUUGAGCUAUGAGAUUGAAGGUAUAAAACCUAGGCUAAUGAAUUAUUCAUAUUUGAAUGUGAAUUGGGUAUUUAUAUGUGAUUGAGAGAUGAACGAAAUGUUCAUGAAUAGUUGGUAAUCUUAUUGAUGAGAUAUUGAAUCAAAUAAUGAAAAUGAUACAAUGGAAAUAUGAUAAUUUAGAAUGAAUUAUAUGUAUGAUUUGUUAAUUAUCUAUGCAUGUUUAUAAUAUUUUAUAUUUUCUAUAAUUUGAAUUAUGGUAAUACUACUGAGUAUUUUCAAUACUCAGCGUACGGUUUGUUUCCGUGCGCAGGCUAGGUAAAGUUGAAGUUUGGUACAGCAUCCGAGUCAAUCCUAACCUCAGCUUAAUUUCUGGUGAAGAAUCUAUCUUUUGGAAAUGUGGCAUGUAUUAGGUUUUGUUUUAGUCACUUAAAUAUAUUUAUGUUUUGGGUGUAAGUAAUUUGUAACUUUUAAGAAGUAUUUGAAAUGAAUAGAUGAAUGUUAUUUGGUCAAGAUUUAUAAGUCAAUGUAUUGGGCAUGAAUUAGGUGUGUUUGAUAUGUGAAAAUAGCUUUAAAAUGGUGAAAAAUCAUGUUUUCACACGGCCAAGUCACAUGGGCGUGUGCCCAGGCCGUGUGGUAAAGUCAAAAUUGCCCACAAGUUAGUCCCAUAGCCAUGUGAGCAAGUCAGAUUUGCCCACGGGUUG
rnacentral:lncRNA from 1 species